rnacentral:rRNA from 1 species
GACGAACGCUGGCGGCGUGCUUAACACAUGCAAGUCGAACGGUGAAGCGCCUUCCUUUCUGGUGGGUGUUGAUGAGUGGCGAACGGAUGAGUAACACGUGAGUAACCUGCCCCGUUCUUCUUGAUAACCGCAUGCAAGUGUGGCUAAUACGGGAUAUUCUGAGUCUGUUGCUUGAUUGGUCUGGGAAAGAUAUGGUGUCGCUGGUGGAUGGGCUCGCGGCCUAUCAGCUUGUUGGUGGGGUGAUGGCCUACCAAGGCGGUGACGGGUAGCCGGCCUGAGAGGGUCGACGGCACCGCAAGGGAGACGCGGCGGACACGACUACGGGAGGAAGCAGCAGGGGAGAAUCCUGAACAGUGGGAGGCCGGCUGAUGCAGCGACGCGGGGGGGGUGAUGGUGGCCUGAGCGUUGAGCACUUCUAUCGGGAGUGAAGCAGGGUUGCAUUGUCUGUGGGUGGGUUGACGGUAGCUGGACAAGAAGCGACGGCUAACUACGUG